CUGGAAUGAUGUAGCUUAGCCAAAUCAGACAUUCAUGUGCUCCAUAAAGCAUUAUCUUGUAAGCUCGCGCCGCCCUUGUGCUCUAAGGCGAGUGGAUGGUGCAAGCAUUGGUUGAUGUGCUUUGUGUUGAAGCGCAGUUUUCUGAUGAUAAACGAAGAGAUUGGUUGUUUACUGACCAGA